rnacentral:piRNA from 1 species
UCCACUCAGGAAUUAAACCAUUUCAGUGUG